rnacentral:misc_RNA from 1 species
UAAUAGUGUAUUUAUGGCACUUUUUAAAUCCAUAUCCACCUUGUGUGCAAUGUCAGUCGAUCUUCUUCAUGGAGAUCGACCAAACAUCAACCUUUAUCUUUUAACUCUUUGUCUAGAAAAUAUUAUGAAUAAACAAUUCAAAAUA